rnacentral:rRNA from 1 species
CAGCAGCCGCGGUAAUACCGGCGGCCCGAGUGGCGGUCACUAUUAUUGGGCUUAAAGCGUCCGUAGCCGGGUUGGGAAGUCCUCCGGGAAAUCUGGCCGCUUAACGGUCAGAAUGCCGGAGGAUACUCCCAGCCUAGGGAGCGGGAGAGGCCGAGGGGAUUCCCGGAGGAGGGGGGAAAUCCUAUAAUCCCGGGAGGACCACCUGUGGCGAGGGCGCUCGGCUGGAACGCGUCCGACGGUGAGGGACGAAGGCCAGGGGAGCAAACCGGAUUAGAUACCCGGGUAGUCCUGGCGGUAAACGAUGCGGACUAGGUGUCGGGCAAGCUAAGGGCUUGUCCGGUGCCGCAGGGAAGCCGUUAAGUCCGCCGCCUGGGGAGUACGGCCGCAAGGCUGAAACUUAAAGGAAUUGGCGGG